GGCUCGGUGGUGGACGGUCCAUGCCUGCUAUAAUUAAUUGCGGAAAGCACCCCAACAAGUAUGCAGGAGGAGCCCGUUCGACUCGGGCCCGAGCCG